CGGUGAUAGCGAAGGAACAUUGAAUACAGAGCAGAGGUGGUGAUAGCUGAGGAACAGGAGAAGCAGAGGAGAGGAAGAAUUUCUUCUUCCAGGCAAUGGAUUGGACCUGCUACAUGGAGUGCAUCUAUCUCAUGGAUUCAUGAAGGAAGAUUGUUUCAAACCAGACUAAGAGAAGAACUGAAGACUAUUCCUUGAACCGUUUCCUAACAUUUAAGGGUUGGUCUGGCACAUGGAGGGGAUCUAUCUGAUGGAUUCAUGGAGGGGUUGGAUGCACCACAUGGAUGGCAUGUAUCUCAUGGAUUCAUGACUGCAAACGGACGAGUAUCUGCUACAUCUAUUUAUUUUGAAUGCAUGCCAUACUGUGUAGAACUGAAGACUAUCCUUUGAACUGUUGCAUAACUCUUUGGGGUUGGAUGUACCACAUGGAUGGCAUGUAUCUCAUGGAUUCAUGACUGCAAACAGACGAGUAUCUGCUACAUCUAUUUAUUUUGAAUGCAUGCCAUACUGUGUAUGAAGCUACAACUAUGUUUUUUUAGGCCAAAGCUCAUGACUGCUGGUGCUAAAGUAUAUCCUCAAGACAUUGACAAUACUCACUUUUGGGAGGGGAGUUGUAAUGCCUUGCUUAUAAUGAAUGUUUUGGGAUAAUUUUUUGACCUUCCAUGAUUGCAAUCGACAUGGAACAUGCAAUUCAACUGAAAUCUGUGAUUGUGAACUGGGUCAAACUGG